ensembl:lncRNA
UGUUGCUUAAAUUGGAGACAUUCAGUUGAAUAGCAUAGGUUUUGCUCCCUCCCCACAGGAUAUCCCCUGCCCAAUGACACCUCCCAGCCACACCCUUGCUUCCUUGGCCACUAUUGAGUACAUCCCUCACCCAAAUAGGGCACGCCUGGCUCCCAUCACUAAUGUGAGUGAAAAGGGCAGGAAGCUUCUUGUGGAACUUGCCAGAGAUUCCCAACGGCCUCAUGAGACAAACCAAACUGUCAAAGACAUCAAGAAGGCUAAAAAACACAGAAAAAGAAAGAAGGGGAAAGCCAUUGAGAGACAGCAGGAGAAGGUUGUGGGGGCCAAGGAGAAAAAGCACAUCAAAAAGGACAAAAUCAGUCUGAGGAAGAGAUUCCUUCAAUGGCUGCUACCUAAGAUGUGCUGUAUGAGGAAGUAAUGGAGAACGGCUAUACACGCACACAUACAUACAAACACACACACACACACACACACACACACACACAUACACACAAAAACAUACACACACAGCAUACUUGCUAUGCAUACAUUACAUUUAUUCUUCCACUUAUAUUUGAUGGUAUAGUACAGGGGAUCCCUAACCUUUUGCUUCAGGCUCCACCUGUGCAUUUGAGUCACAGAUUGCGCCACCCUCCCGAAUCCCAUCAUACAUGCUCUUAUAUCUUGCCCUAACAUAGGCCUUAAUAUCUUGCGCUAACACAUAGGCCUUCAGAAAUUGGUUAGCAUUUUACUACAUACAUUUUAUUUCACAAUUGGUAGGCCAAACCUAAUACAUUUCCAUACUUAGAAUUAAUUAAAUGGAUACGUCUGUCGCUGGGAACAAAGCUUAUGCAUUCUGGGCUAAUACCUGUACACGUGUAAAGUAACAGGCAUUUCACUUCAUACACUUAUUCAACUUUGUAGGCUAAAUGCCAGAACAACUUAAUGUAUAAACAUAUAGUGCUUAUAUCUUUGUGUACUUACUCAAUUAAUGAGUUGGAUGAGCCUGACACUGGGAACAGCCUUUGUAUUCUGGGCUUCAUGCUUGAUAGUGAUGAACAUAGUUCAACUUCUACUACCGUGAGUGGUGACCGUUGUUUGUUUUUAAUGUAUUCCUGGUAUUCGCCAUCAAUUGACAGCCAGAUAAAGGCUGCUGGCAGGUCCCUGUCACUGGAUAGGUCCAGCAGUGAGUCCUGUAGUUCUGAUGACAGGUUGCUGCCAGUGGUAGUGGCGGUGAUAAACCGCUGUCAGAUCCAGUCGUGGUUUUUGUGUUUCUCUUCCUGAAAGUACCUCUUCAAUAGUCCAAUAAGUCAGCGUAAAUGAUUAGUUGUCAUUGCAUUGUCAAACUUGAUCUCUCAUUUCAAAUAGAUGCAGCAGCACAUCAUAGCACCAGCCCCAUCUGCAUAAGAUGCAGCUUGGACUUUGGAAAUUGUUGUAGUCUGUGUGGUCAAUGCUUGCUUUUGCUCUUGCUCUUUACAAUCGAAAAAAUUCAGUUGUUUAUUGAUGUGUGUUGGGCGUUUGGUGUGUAAAUGUCUCUUCAGUUUCACCGGUUUCAAACUGUCAAUUGCUAGUACCUCCGAACACAUUACACAUUGUGGAUGUGCAUCCCCAUCAACCACAAGACACAUAAAUCCAUACAGAAUGUAAUUGUCUUGAUAUCGCCGUAGCUUUGCCUGCUUAUGCUUGCGUUUCCUUCCAAAUUUCACUGGCACUUUAGUUUCACUGGCACUGAUAAUUCAAAGUAAUGGUUCUGAUGUACAACUAAUUUACUGUGUCCAAAUGUAUUUCUCAAUAAAGUAUAAUGAAU